AUCUGCAGCCAUACCACCCUGAACGUGCCCGAUCUCAUCUGAUCUCGGAAGCUUAGCAGGGUCAGGCCUCUUUAGUGCUUGGAUGGGAGACCGCCUGGGAAUACCAGGUGCUGUAGUCU
rnacentral:rRNA from 1 species